rnacentral:rRNA from 1 species
GUAGGGAAUAUUGCACAAUGGAGGAAACUCUGAUGCAGCGACGCCGCGUGAGUGAUGAAGGCCUUCGGGUCGUAAAGCUCUGUCGCAGGGGAAUAACACAAUGAAGGUACCCUGUAAGAAAGGAUCGGCUAACUUCGUGCCAGCAGCCGCGGUAAGACGAGGGAUCCUAGCGUUGUUCGGAAUCAUUGGGCGUAAAGCGGAUGUAGGUGGCUAUGUAAGUCAGAUGUGAAAGCCUGGGGCUCAACCCCAGAAGUGCAUUUGAUACUGCGUAGCUUGAGUGUCGGAGAGGUUACUAGAAUUGUUGGUGUAGUGGUGAAAUACGUAGAUAUCAACAGGAAUACCGGAGGCGAAGGCGGGUAACUGGCCGAACACUGACACUGAGAUCCGAAAGCGUGGGGAUCAAACAGGAUUAGAAACCCUGGUAGUCC